rnacentral:rRNA from 1 species
AUUGAACGCUGGCGGCGUGCCUAACACAUGCAAGUCGAGCGGCAGCGCGGGAGCAAUCCUGGCGGCGAGCGGCGGACGGGUGAGUAACGCUUGGGAAUCUGCCUGUUAGUGGGGGACAACCCGGGGAAACUCGGGCUAAUACCGCAUACGCACUACGGUGGAAAGCCGGGGACCGCAAGGCCUGGCGCUAACAGAUGAGCCCAAGUCGGAUUAGCUAGUUGGUAGGGUAACGGCCUACCAAGGCGACGAUCCGUAACUGGUCUGAGAGGACGACCAGUCACACCGGAACUGAGACACGGUCCGGACUCCUACGGGAGGCAGCAGUGGGGAAUAUUGGACAAUGGGGGAAACCCUGAUCCAGCGACGCCGCGUGGGUGAAGGAGGCCUGCGGGUUGUAAAGCCCUUUCAGUGGGGAAGAAAAGCCUCGACCUAACACGUCGGGGUCUUGACGUAACCCAUAGAAGAAGCACCGGCUAACUCUGUGCCAGCCGCCG